UGGCAAGCUGAGAAUUUCAGGCGGCACUGUCCUAGCCAGCUAAAACUCUUCUCCACCUUUUCGCCCUCGGAUUUUUGUCAAGAAAAGAGGCGCCUCCGAGUUUGAGAAUUGGGAGCAGAUGGAGUCGGAGUGGACAGAAAGACAAGACCCUGACAGUGGAGAAUUUAAAGACCGGCCAGCAUGCUUCCGAAGGCCAGGGGUGGAGGCAUUACCGCCUCUCCGUGCCCUCUUCUCUUAACCUGCCCUGGGACAAGGGCCUCGGCCCUGCGAAACUGCGAGUCCUCCAGAAAGACACAUCGCUGCUGGGGUGCCCAACCUUUCUGGGAUUCGUAGUUUAUACCCAGGUGAGUACACUAAGACGAACAUGAAUGUCAGAAUUGACAAAUCGAGGCCAACAGGACUCCAGAUCGAGCACUUGUACUUUACUGCCCCAAUAAAAAAGUAUUACAUUUUAGCUUUUUUAUGUAUUUUUUUGAGAGAGGGUUUGGCUUUGUCGCCCAGGCUGGAGUGCACUAGCUCAAUCACAACUCACUGCAGCCUCUGCCUCC